CUUCCAUGCAAGGGAGACAGCCACAGAUAAUUAGACAUUGACCAAUCAUACAAUGGUUACAACCCACAGAUUUCCUCCCCUCUGCUUGGGAGAUAAUUGAGUUACUUACUGUAUCUACUCAAUUAUCUUCAAACUAAAAAAAUAUACUUUUUUAAAAAAAUUUAUAACUUUCCGAUUUUUCAACAUACAGGAAUAAAACAUAUGUUUAUGAACAACUCAACUUGGGGACAAACAUAUUCAAAAUUCGUGCAAAUCCGUUCGGUGGUUCAGGAGAUAGUAAAAAGUCUCUUGAACCGACCGCACUCCUGUGUGUAUGUCCAAAACAGUUCCACAGAUUCCGGCUGUGCAGUCGGUCUAUUCUUUCAUGUGACGAAAGUCCCAAUUUGCACAAAUGUAUUAAUUCAUGCUUAGUCUCUUUGGAUACAGCUAGU